rnacentral:rRNA from 1 species
CAGGGGAUAACAUUUGGAAACAAAUGCUAAUACCGUAUAAUAAUUAAAACCGCAUGGUUUUAGUUUAAAAGAUGGUCUUGCUAUCACUAAGAGAUGGUCCCGCGGUGUAUUAGUUAGUUAGUGAGGUAAUGGCUCACCAAGACAAUGAUACAUAGCCGAGUUGAGAGACUGACCGGCCACAAUGGGACUGAGACACGGCCCAUACUCCUACGGGAGGCAGCAGUAGGGAAUCUUCCACAAUGGACGAAAGUCUGAUGGAGCAACGCCGCGUGUGUGAUGAAGGGUUUCGGCUCGUAAAACACUAUUGUAAGAGAAGAAUGACAUUGAGAGUAACUGUUCAAUGUGUGACGGUAUCUUACCAGAAAGGAACGGCUAAAUACGUG